rnacentral:rRNA from 1 species
GAUGAACGCUGGCGGCGUGCCUAAUACAUGCAAGUCGAGCGAAUGGAUUAAGAGCUUGCUCUUAUGAAGUUAGCGGCGGACGGGUGAGUAACACGUGGGUAACCUGCCCAUAAGACUGGGAUAACUCCGGGAAACCGGGGCUAAUACCGGAUAACAUUUUGAACCGCAUGGUUCGAAAUCGAAAGGCGGCUUCGGCUGUCACUUAUGGAUGGACCCGCGUCGCAUUAGCUAGUUGGUGAGGUAACGGCUCACCAAGGCAACGAUGCGUAGCCGACCUGAGAGGGUGAUAGGCCACACUGGGACUGAGACACGGCCCAGACUCCUACGGGAGGCGGCAGUAGGGAAUCUUCCGCAAUGGACGAAAGUCUGACGGAGCAACGCCGCGUGAGUGAGGAAGGCUUUCGGGUCGUAAAACUCUGUUGUUAGGGAAGAACAAGUGCUAGUUGAAUAAGCUGGCACCUUGACGGUACCUAACCAGAAAGCCACGGCUAACUACGUGCCAGCCGCCGCAGUAA